rnacentral:misc_RNA from 1 species
GACACGUGAACAACAGGUAUCCUAGAUGUGUUGUUCUUUGACUUCAAUCUAUUGAACGCAGCUAUUUUAGUUGCUUCAGUUGUCUCUCUACUUGGUCAUUUCUGUUGAUUUUAAAACUCCUUUAAGUGACCUAGGCUCAGGAAGUGGGGCUGGGAGUUCUACUGGGGACCACAGGCCUCCACAUCCAAAAGUAACAAUACCAUGCAAGCCAAAGGUAGUGGACCACAGUAGAGGAGUCUACAUGCACGCACAUCCCAACUACCCUAACUUGCCUGGAGCUCCUGGAGGGGCAUUCCAUGCCCAAUACAUGCAUUCAGCAGGAGGAAUUGGCAAAGGAAGGAAAAGAUCUCUUCGAGAGAGUAUGAUGAGAUUGUUUAAAAUCAGGACACACUAGAUUAACAGUUAUAUUUCUACCCCCACUUGAAGAUCAAAUUCAAAGGCCCAUUUGAUGCUUCGAUUAGUUUUACAAGGAUUUUUUACAUCAACGACGCAAGUUCAAUGACUUUGAGGACUUUGAGAUGCGGAUAUAAAAAAUAAAUUUGGGAUACCUGUGUCAUGAUAUGAUAAUAUGAUUCUGAGCUGAGAGUUUCUAUUACUAUAUUUGAUAUACAAGUUUGUAAGUUAAUGUCUAGAUUUGUAAAAGCAUUUUUUAUAUUUUAAUCGUAUUAAAAAGUUUAAAAUUAA